UACGGGGGGGGCAAGCGUUGUUCGGAAUUACUGGGCGUAAAGGGCUCGUAGGCGGCCAACUAAGUCAGACGUGAAAUCCCUCGGCUUAACCGGGGAACUGCGUCUGAUACUGGAUGGCUUGAGGUUGGGAGAGGGAUGCGGAAUUCCAGGUGUAGCGGUGAAAUGCGUAGAUAUCAGGAGGAACACCGGUGGCGAAGGCGGAUCUCUGGGCCGAUACUGACGCUGAGGAGCGAAAGCGUGGGGAGCGAACAGG
rnacentral:rRNA from 1 species